GGGCUUGACAUCCCACGAACCUGAAAGGGAAGGGAGCCCGCAAGGGAAGCCGGCACAGGUGGUGCAUGGCUGUCGUCAGCUCGUGUCGUGAGAUGUUGGGUUAAGUCCCGCAACGAGCGCAACCCUUGUCCUCUGUUGCCAUCAGGUUAAGCUGGGCACUCUGGGGAGACUGCCGGUGACAAACCGGAGGAAGGUGGGGAUGACGUCAAGUCAGCAUGGCCUUUAUGUCUGGGGCCACACACGUGCUACAAUGGCCGGCACAAACCGUCGCGAGCCCGCGAGGGGGAGCUAAUCGGAUAGAACCGGUCUCAGUUCGGAUCGCAGGCUGCAACUCGCCUGCGUGAAGUUGGAAUCGCUAGUAAUCGCAGAUCAGCACGCUGCGGUGAAUACGUUCCCGGGCCUUGUACACACCGCCCGUCACAUCACGAAAGCUGGCUGUACUCGAAGUCGCUGAGA
rnacentral:rRNA from 1 species